UGGUGGAGUGAUUUGUCUGGUUAAUUCCGAUAACGAACGAGACCUUAACCUGCUAAAUAGCCAGGCCGGCUUUGGCUGGUCGCGGGCUUCUUAGAGGGACUGUCGGCGUCUAGCCGACGGAAGUUUGAGGCAAUAACA
rnacentral:rRNA from 1 species